rnacentral:rRNA from 1 species
AUUGAACGCUGGCGGCAUGCCUUACACAUGCAAGUCGAACGGUAACGGGCCUUCGGGCGCCGACGAGUGGCGAACGGGUGAGUAAUGCAUCGGAACGUACCUUUCAGUGGGGGAUAACGUAGCGAAAGUUACGCUAAUACCGCAUAUUCUGUGAGCAGGAAAGCAGGGGAUCGCAAGACCUUGCGCUGAUUGAGCGGCCGAUGUCAGAUUAGCUAGUUGGUGAGGUAAAGGCUCACCAAGGCGACGAUCUGUAGCGGGUCUGAGAGGAUGAUCCGCCACACUGGAACGGAGACACGGUCCAGACUCCUACGGGAGGCAGCAGUGGGGAAUUUUGGACAAUGGGGGCAACCCUGAUCCAGCCAUGCCGCGUGAGUGAAGAAGGCCUUCGGGUUGUAAAGCUCUUUCGGCCGGGAAGAAAUCGUAUGGGCUAAUACCCUGUGCGGAUGACGGUACCGGCAUAAGAAGCACCGGCUAACUCCGUGCCAGCAGCCGCGGUAACAC